rnacentral:lncRNA from 1 species
GAAAUCCUUAAAGAUGAUAAGAUUUCCAAAUUUAUUCAGCAGACAGAGCAUCAGAGCGAAAGACAGAAUGAGGAAAUCAAGAUAAAAUCUACCAGCAGUUCACCAAGCGAGGUAAAAGAAUUUGAUAUUAAUUCGGAGUCCCAAUUAACUAGAAGACAUUUAUAAAAACUUAUGA